GACGAACGCUGGCGGCGUGCUUAACACAUGCAAGUCGAACGGAAAGGCCUUUUCGGAGGUGCUCGAUUGGCUGACGGGUGAGUAACACGUGGGUGAUCUGCCCUCCACUCUGGGAUAAGCCUGGGCAACUGGGUCUAAUACCUGAUCGGUCCGCACUUUAGUGUGUUUGGUGGAAAGUUUUUUCGUUGUAGGAUGAGCCCGCGGCCUAUCCGCUUGUUGGUGGGGUAAUGGCCUACCAAGGCGGCGACGGUUAGCGGGACGCGGAGGUUGGUCGGCCACAUGGGGAUGGGGAUAGGGCCAAGAUUCUGAGGGGAGGAAGAAGUGGGGAAUAUGGAACAAGGGGGGAAAGCCGGAUGCAGCGACGCCGCGGGGGGGAGGACGGCCUUGGGGUUGUAAACGCCUUUGGCCAGGGACGAAGCGGAGUGUGACGGUAGGGGGAGAAGAAGCACCGGAUAAAUACG
rnacentral:rRNA from 1 species